CUAACCUUCGGGAAGCCGCAGUGGGGAAUCUUGGACAAUGGGGGAAACCCUGAUCCAGCAAUGCCGCGUGUGUGAAGAAGGCCCUCGGGUUGUAAAGCACUUUCAGUAGGGAAGAAAUUCUCAAGAGUAAUAUACUUGAGCGUUGACGUUACCUACAGAAGAAGCACUGGCUAACUCUGUGCCAGCAGCCGCGGUAAUACAGAGAGUGCGAGCGUUAAUCGGAAUCACUGGGCGUAAAGAGCGCGUAGGUGGAUAUUUAAGUCGGAUGUGAAAGCCCUAGGCUUAACCUAGGAACUGCACUCGAUAUUGAAGAGUUUGAUUCUGGUAGAGGGAAGUGGAAUUUUCGGUGUAGCGGUGAAAUGCGUAGAUAUCGGAAAGAACACCAGUGGCGAAGGCGGCUUCCUGGACCAAUACUGACACUGAGGUGCGAAAGCGUGGGGAGCAAACAGGAUUAGAGACCCUGGUAGUCCA
rnacentral:rRNA from 1 species